UCAGUGCUCGUGAUUGUGGCAUUCAUACCGCUAAUCAGGUGUCCUCGUGCCGAGCGCGCAAAAUCGUACGCUGCGCGAAACGAGCCAAACGCAACAGCUCGCGCGCGAGACCGUCACCGGAAGUAGGCCUCUGAUGAGAGAGA
rnacentral:lncRNA from 1 species